AUUGAACGCUGGCGGCAUGCCUUACACAUGCAAGUCGAACGGCAGCACGGGGCAACCUGGUGGCGAGUGGCGAACGGGUGAGUAAUGCAUCGGAACGUACCUUUCAGUGGGGGAUAACGUGGCGAAAGUUACGCUAAUACCGCAUAUUCUGUGAGCAGGAAAGCAGGGGAUCGCAAGACCUUGCGCUGAUUGAGCGGCCGAUGUCAGAUUAGCUAGUUGGUGAGGUAAAGGCUCACCAAGGCGACGAUCUGUAGCGGGUCUGAGAGGAUGAUCCGCCACACUGGAACUGAGACACGGUCCAGACUCCUACGGGAGGCAGCAGUGGGGAAUUUUGGACAAUGGGGGCAACCCUGAUCCAGCCAUGCCGCGUGAGUGAAGAAGGCCUUCGGGUUGUAAAGCUCUUUCGGCCGGGAAGAAAUCGCAUGGGCUAAUACCCUGUGUGGAUGACGGUACCGGAAUAAGAAGCACCGGCUAACUACGUGCCAGCAGCCGCAGUAACAC
rnacentral:rRNA from 1 species